rnacentral:ncRNA from 2 species
UGAAUAUUUAUGUUAUUAGGUGCUACUUUAAAUCGGUAGUUAAAAGGGAAAGUGGUGAAAAUCCACUACAGCCCACCGUUACUGUGAUGCUGAUGAAACCUUAAGUUUAUACCACUGAAUAUUAUUUUCGGGAAGGUAAGGGAGUAAAGUGAAGCUAAGUCAGGAAACCUGCCUAAUAAUUGUUGAUUCU